rnacentral:rRNA from 1 species
CCUACGGGUGGCUGCAGUGGGGAAUAUUGGGCAAUGGGCGCAAGCCUGACCCAGCAACGCCGCGUGAAGGAAGAAGGCUUUCGGGUUGUAAACUUCUUUUGUCAGGGACGAAACAAGUGACGGUACCUGACGAAUAAGCCACGGCUAACUACGUGGCACGAGCCGCGGUAAUACGUAGGUGGCAAGCGUUAUCCGGAUUUACUGGUUGUACAGGGCGUGUAGGCGGGGAAGCAAGUCAGAUGUGAAAACCACGGGCUCAACCUGUGGCCUGCAUUUGAAACUGUUUUUCUUGAGUGCUGGGGAGGCAAGCGGAAUGCGGGGUGUAGCGGUGAAAUGCGUAGAUAUACGGAGGAACACCAGUUGCGAAGGCGGAUUGCUGGAGAGUAACUGACGCUGAGGCGCGAAGGCGUGGGGAGCAAACAGGAUUAGAUACCCCGGUAGUC